rnacentral:rRNA from 1 species
AUGGUAGGAUCUAGACCGGGUGUUCAUGGAGAAAACCAUGGGGAAGAAGAUGCCCCGGUCAAACGUGCCAAGCUGCAGCAACUCGAGAACAACUUAAUCCAAGCCAUGGAGAGGAUGCUUCAUGAGCGUCCUCCAGCAGGUGGUGAUAGGGUUCGCCACCGACAACACCCUAUUGAUCCACUUGAGGAAGUUGGCGAUGAGAAUUCCGUGCACGCUGCUGUGGAUGGUGCCUUGUAG